rnacentral:lncRNA from 10 species
CAAAAGCGGCCUGUAAUAGUUGGGUUUUGGCAGAGUUCAAAGACUGGGAAGCAAAGUUCAGCCAUGUUGGGCCUUUGGGCUCAUAGAUGAGCAAGGGUACCCCAAUAUGAGGGCUCAGCAAAUUCUGGAACUUAUCAGUUCUGAAGACCUUUAGAGGAGAAGGAGACAAGUAAAAGGGUUGGCCUUGCGUAUUGGCAAUGAAACAGGCUAUUUUUGACAUUGAGUUGUCCAGCAUUCUCUAAGGUAUGUAGUCCUGGAGGGCGCUGCUUAAUGAACCAGAAGUCCUGCCUCUUAAGUACCUCACCAGCUCAAAUGUGUGCAUGUCACCUUGGCGUGAAUCGGAGCAGGCGCUGGUGGAUACCGUUUGGAGGCAUGCCAGCAAGGAGCUCCUUGUGUAGCCUGCCUCUGGAGCCUCAAGUUCAACUUCCAUAGGGCCAAAAGGGGAGUCGGGCUGGGCAGAAGCUCCUGAGAACCAAAGCAAAUGGUCUGAGAGUCUGAGAGUGUAGUGGAGGUAACGUGUUCGUGUCCUCUCUGGCUGCAUCACCCCAAGUCCUUGCAGACUCAAGUAGCCUAUUUGCAAGUUUAAAUAGUUUGAGUCCUGGCCGGUAACAAGAAUACUCUACAGUGGCCCAGAGUCAGGGAUAUAGAGUGGCGACUACUUGGCAGAACUGGAGCUUGCUCAGAUGAAAAGAUAAAUUGUACUGGUUAAACGAAGAUCAAGUGCAGGGUCUGGACUUUGUUUCUAUCUUUCAUGUGGACUCUAUAAGCACCUACACACAGCAUUCUAGAAACACUGCUCCCAUCCCUCCUGUCUCAUGUCAUCCUCCCAAUUCCGGGAGUUGGGGGGCAUACUCUUUCCCUGUGUCAUGUGAGAAAUUCCUUUCUCAUGGGAAGCAGGUGGCAUUCCUGGACUCUCCUUGGCCUGGCCGUUGGUAAGCACAGGAAUUCAAGGUGUCUGAAUCUCUUGUCAAAGGUGGGCUGUAAGGCUCCAGAAGAGGAGGACAGAAAGUGCCUGCAGAGCUCCUGCCUGAGGCCUUUGGAUGGGCCCUGCUGGCUUGCCGUGUGUGUGUGUGUGUGUGUGUGUGUGUGUGUGUGUGUGUGGUGUCGUGCUUAUUUGCCCCAAAUGAGGCAAGAGAGCAGUGAUCAGGUGUCUCCCCAGCAUCUAGUUUCAUGAAGACAAUAGAAGUGGGUCGGAUCAGGCCUGCUGCCAUGCUUGGCUUGCCCAUGUCUCCUAGGAUUGGCUGCCUGGUGGCCAUCCCUUUGCCAUCCCCUUGACUGCCCUGUGAAUGAUGUCCACUCUGAGACCCCAGGCCACUCAGAAAAACUGAAGAUUCUCAAGUUCAGGUGCAGUUAGGGGGCAGGUCCUGGUGGUGGGGGAGCUUUGAUGUUCUGCAGUUGGAGGAUCCUCUUUCAGAAUAGUAAUGCAAUUUGUGAAUUAAUAAAAUUAGGUAUGCAAGAGGAUAUGUAGAAAAGAAAAAUCACAAGCUACACAAUUUUUAAGUUGACAAAACUACGAACAUCACAAAAUAAUAUGAUAUUUUAAAUUAAUUAUCUGCCUGGAAUACUCUGUCAUUUUUUUUUGAUCUUUUGCCUGCAUCGUCUUUGAUAGCAGUGUUUUUGAUAUUGCUUUUUAUAGAGAGACUCAAGAUAAUGGAGUCUACUCUGUUGUGGUUAAUUAAACAUUUUUUGGUGUUAUUCAUAGUUUGAGAUGUUUCUUUUAGCUUCUCAACCUGCUAUACAGAUAAAAAGCACUUUCAUGUCAGGUAAAUAUUUAGAAUUGUUGCCAAAUUUUAAAUUUCCUCCAUCAAUUUUCUUUCAUAUGUCAUAUAUGAGUUGUGAGAUUUGGAAGGAUAUUUCAGACCAGCUUCUGUAUCUAUUUUUUUCUCUAAUCACAUGCUACUGGUGGUGUGGACAGUAGUAGCACAUGACCAUAUCAGGACAUGAUCUAUCUUGGUGUCAUGGCUCUCAGUGAGUCUGCUUGGAGGGUAGUAGAAGUAUCCCUGGACGUCAUUCCUACACCAGGACAGCAAUAACUUAGCUCUCCAAGGAAGUUACUGUGAACCACAUGCACAUAUUCUACUCAAGUCAAUGUGCCCCCAACUCAAUUUGUCCUUAGCUAGACCCCAAAAGUUCUCAUGGGGAGUCUCACUCCCCUUCCACUUAACAUGAUGGAAGGCCUGAUUGGAGGGGGGCGUCAGCAGUGGGAAGAGACACAGCCUUCACUGAUUGCAGCUAAAAUGUCUUACUUUUGAAAAUAGGACAAAAACAUAUGACCAUGUGCAUAUACUGCUGAAGCCCCUCCCUGGGCCAUGCAAGGUGCCUAUGUGAGUGCAAGUGAGAUGCCCGGAAGUGUAAGUUUCAUCUGCUCAGGAAAGGGCCAGGUAUUGCCUGGUAUCACAUUCCAGGGGAAAGGAAGAGACAGUCAAGGCCUUAUGGCUCUUAACUUUGAUCUUAGUGCUUCGUAUUUUCCAUUCUGCAUGAUACAAAAACAGAUUUAAAUCAUGUUCUAGAUAGAGAUGAAAAGCAUUUUCACUUUUGGCAGGUCGUGGAACAUCAAUCAAUAUUUGUUAAUUGGUUGAACUGGAUGCAUAAUUGGAAAGCUAAUGGAAGGAGAUAUGUUUUACAAGGAAGGGCCCUUGGUGAUCACUGAUUAGUCAUUUUUACAGAUAGCAAAGCCAGGAAGGGGAAUGACUGUCUGAAGGUGGCAGUGAAUGACAGAGCUGAGGCCCAUGGCAAGGUGCACUAGUACACUCUGCCUUUGCAUGACUGUAAGCAAUUAAAGUCUCAUCAGAAGUCAUUGUGAGUUAAUACACGGAGCAAAUAUAGGUGCAGAUGUCUAGAAGCAACAAUGGCAUUUACAGUGAAGCCAAACAUUGAAGGUUUACUGUAAAAUGUUGCACUGAAUUCUUUAUAUACACCUGUUUUGGUUAGUCAUUAUUCUCUCCAGUCUGUGGGUUACAUGCCCCUUGCUGACCCACAGUACCAUGCCACAAGAUAGGCAGUGUAUUGGCCAGGUGCACACCUGGCAAAAGUCUACUCUGCUUAGGUUCAGCUGUGGAUGGGUUCUGUGCGCCUUGGAUGGGGUCGUGAAAACUGUGGGACUACAGGACUGGGCUUGUGGGCAGAAGAGUCAUAGGGCACUCUGCCUAGGAAAAGGGAAAGGGGCCUGUUCCUACCAGGUGCUCUGCGGAGUGUCCACACUGCAGGGAAAGGCUCAGGUCUGAAUAGGAGGUGCAGACUUUGUGUCUACAGGACCCUGCAAACCUGAGGCCUUGUGGAGGUUUGGUCAAGAUGGAGAGGCCAGUUAGCGGCGUACCAUGGGCUAGACUGUCCAUGACGUGGAGUAAAAGGCAGCUAUUGGCACUGAGCUAACAACAGUGGGAGGUGGGGCCUCAGUGGAAGUGGAUUGCUUGCUUCUCAUCCUGCCUCCAACACUUGGUACCCACAUGACCCUGCACAAGGAACCUGUUUGUCCCAUCUGAGCCUCUGCAUCUUGGGCUGUCAAAAGCCAAGAAAAAAAAAUUGUAAGACUGAUCUCAUAGGGUCGUUACGAGAAUUAAAUGAGAUAAUCCAUGUAAAGCAACUGACAUGUAAAAAUAACAAUAAUGAAAG